rnacentral:rRNA from 1 species
UACGUAGGUGGCGAGCGUUGUCCGGAUUUACUGGGCGUAAAGAGCGCGCAGGCGGUCGUUCAAGUCGCGUGUGAAAGCCCCCGGCUCAACUGGGGAGGGUCACGCGAUACUGAUCGACUCGAAGGCAGGAGAGGGAAGUGGAAUUCCCGGUGUAGUGGUGAAAUGCGUAGAUAUCAAGAGGAACACCUGCGGCGAAGGCGGGUUGCUGGGCCGACACUGACGCUGAGGCGCGAAAGCUAGGGGAGCGAACGGG